UACGAAGGGGGCUAGCGUUGUUCGGAAUUACUGGGCGUAAAGCGCGCGCAGGCGGUCUUCCAAGUCAGUGGUGAAAGCCCGGAGCUCAACUCCGGAACUGCCAUUGAAACUGUGAGACUGGAGUACGAGAGAGGUGAGUGGAAUUCCCAGUGUAGAGGUGAAAUUCGUAGAUAUUGGGAAGAACACCGGUGGCGAAGGCGGCUCACUGGCUCGUAACUGACGCUCAGGCGCGACAGCGUGGGGAUCGAAACAGG
rnacentral:rRNA from 1 species